AAAACGGUUUAAAUAAAUUAAGUAAAUUUCGCGGCUAAAGUGAUCACGUGUGCAGCUCCGCAGGAAAAAAAAAAAUCUGCUUUCCUCAGCAGAGACGUCGACUAACCAUACUCCUCACAACUCCUGGUUAAGUAAGUUUCGUAACUUAAUCGAGGUCACCUGAAGGACGGCGUUCCUGAGUUUCCUCAGCAACGGCAAGACCCGCACUCCUCUCAUAUCGGGAAGUUUAACUAGUUUCGCGGCUCAAG